rnacentral:sRNA from 1 species
UGACUACCUGGAAAGUCCAUCUUCUGAA